rnacentral:tRNA from 1 species
AACCAGUUAGCCUAGUGGUUAAGGUUAUGGAUCGCCAAUCCGGAGACGGCGGGUUCGACUCCCGUUCUAGUCG